rnacentral:misc_RNA from 1 species
CGCCGAGGAGAACUCAUUUAUUACUUUCCUCAGGGUCAUAUCGAGCAGGUGCAAGCAUCGACGAAUCAGGUGGCUGAUCAGCAAAUGCCUUCUUAUAAUCUUCCUGCGAAAAUUUUAUGUCGUGUGGUCAAUGUUCAAUUAAAGGCCGAACCAGACACAGAUGAAGUUUUUGCUCAAAUAACUUUGCUCCCUCAACUUGAACAAGAUGAAAAAUUGGUCGAGGAGGCUUUGCCUUCACCUACACGUCCGCGGG